rnacentral:rRNA from 1 species
CCUACGGGUGGCUGCAGUGAGGAAUAUUGGUCAAUGGGCGCGAGCCUGAACCAGCCAAGUCGCGUGAGGGACGACGGUCCUAUGAGUUGUAAACCUCUUUUGUCGGGGAGCAAAAGACCCUACGCGUGGCGUUUUGAGAGUACCCUAAGAAUAAGCAUCGGCUAACUCCGUGCCAGCAGCCGCGGUAAUACGGAGGAUGCGAGCGUUAUCCGGUGUUAUUGGGUUUAAGGGGUGCGCAGGCGGAAGAUCAAGUCAGCGGUAAAAUUGCGAGGCUCAACAUCUUCGUGCCGUUGAAACUGGUGUACUUGAGUGCGUGUGCAGUAUGCGGAAUGCGUAGUGUAGCGGUGAAAUGCAUAGAUAUUACGCAGAACUCCGAUUGCGAAGGCAGCAUACCGGGGCGCAACUGACGCUGAUGCACGAAAGUGUGGGGAUCGAACAGGAUUAGAUACCCGAGUAGUC